rnacentral:rRNA from 1 species
GACGAACGCUGGCGGCGUGCCUAAUACAUGCAAGUAGAACGCUGAAGAGAGGAGCUUACUCUUCUUGGAUGAGUUGCGAACGGGUGAGUAACGCGUAGGUAACCUGCCUUGUAGCGGGGGAUAACUAUUGGAAACGAUAGCUAAUACCGCAUAACAAUGGAUGACACAUGUCAUUUAUUUGAAAGGGGCAAUUGCUCCACUACAAGAUGGACCUGCGUUGUAUUAGCUAGUAGGUGAGGUAAUGGCUCACCUAGGCGACGAUACAUAGCCGACCUGAGAGGGUGCUCGGCCACACUGGGACUGAGACACGGCCCAGACUCCUACGGGGGGCAGCAGUAGGGAAUCUUCGGCAAUGGGGGCAACCCUGACCGAGCAACGCCGCGUGAGUGAAGAAGGUUUUCGGAUCGUAAAGCUCUGUUGUAAGUCAAGAACGGGUGUGAGAGUGGAAAGUUCACACUGUGACGGUAGCUUACCAGAAAGGGACGGCUAACUACGUG